GAGAAUCCCCCUCGCCGGAAGACCAAGGUUUUCAGGGUAAAGCUUGUCUUCCCUGAGUAAGCCGGGACCUAAGCCCAGGCUAUAAUGCGUAGGCGAAUGGAAAACAGAUUAAUAUUUCUGUGCCAGUCAUGUAUUGUGAUGGAGGGACGCAGAAGGGUAUGCGCGCGGACGAACGGAAGUGUCCGUAGAAGUAUGUAGGGUGACUUAGUAGGUAAAUCCAUUAAGUUAAAUCUGAGGUAUGAUAUACAGUCGUAAGAUGAAUGCGCAAAUCCCACGCUGCCAAGAAAAGCUUCUAACGUUAAUAUAUGACUGCCCGUACUGUAAACCGACACAGGUGGUCAGGAUGAGAAAUCUAAGGCGGACAGGCUAACUCUCGUUAAGGAACUCUGCAAAAUAACCUCGUAACUUCGGGAGAAGAGGAGCCCUUGUGUGUGAGUAUACACGCGAUAUAAAGCGCACGAGGGUCGCAGUGAAGAGGCUCAAGCAACUGUUUAACAAAAACACAGGUCUAUGCUAAGCUGUAAGGCGAUGUAUAUGGGCUGACACCUGCCCAGUGCUGGAAGGUUAAGAGGAGGAGUGAGAGCUCCGAAUUGAAGCCCCAGUGAACGGCGGCCGUAACUAUAACGGUCCUAAGGUAGCGAAAUUCCUUGUCGGGUAAGUUCCGACCUGCACGAAUGGUGUAAUGAUUUGAGCGCUGUCUUGACGGGAGGCCUGGUGAAAUUGUAUUACCGGUGAAGAUACCGGUUACCUACAGUAGGACGGAAAGACCCCAUGGAGCUUUACUGUAGCUUGGUAUUGGGUUUUGGCAUUGCAUGUAUAGGAUAGUUGGGAGACUAUGAUGAUAUGGCGCUAGCUGUAUCGGAGUCAUCGGUGGAAUACCAACCAUUCAAUGCUGAAAUUCUAAUCUGUGGUUUGUAGCCACGGAGACAGUGCUAGGUGGGCAGUUUGACUGGGGCGGUCGCCUCCGAAAGAGUAACGGAGGCGUUCAAAGGUUCUCUCAGGUUGGAUGGAAAUCAACCAUAGAGUGCAAUGGCAUAAGAGAGCUUGACUGCAAGACUGACGGGUCGAGCAGAUGCGAAAGCAGGACAUAGUGAUCCGGCGAUUCCGAAUGGAAGGGUCGUCGCUCAACGGAUAAAAGCUACCCUGGGGAUAACAGGCUGAUCCUACCCGAGAGUCCAUAUCGACGGUAGGGUUUGGCACCUCGAUGUCGGCUCAUCGCAUCCUGGGGCUGGAGAAGGUCCCAAGGGUUGGGCUGUUCGCCCAUUAAAGCGGUACGUGAGCUGGGUUCAGAACGUCGUGAGACAGUUCGGUCCCUAUCCACUGUAGGCGUUAGAAUAUUGAGAAGACCUGUCCUUAGUACGAGAGGACCGGGAUGGACAAACCUCUGAUGUACCAGUUGUCACGCCAGUGGCACAGCUGGGUAGUCACGUUUGGAAUAGAUAACCGCUGAAAGCAUCUAAGCGGGAAACUAACUUCAAGAUAAGUAUUCUUUAAGAUACCUUCGAGCCUAGGAGGUUGAUAGGUUGGGGGUGUAAGUACAGCAAUGUAUUUAGCUGACCAAUACUAAUUAUCGAAGUUUUAAUCUA
rnacentral:rRNA from 1 species